AGGAGGAGAGGCCUUACAUGAAUUAGAAGAGUUUCUAUUUGUUUAGUAGCCAAGGAUGACUUGCCUUUCAUCAAUGCCUUUUGUAAAAUGGAAAUUGAUUACAACACUUUCUAUGGUAUUGGGAAAAUGAGUGGCAAGCAUCUUUGGCGACUUGACAAACUCUUCUUUGUCAUGUUAGUCCAUCUUCUUCCU